UGUGACGCAGACCCCUCAGCCUUAGCCAACUAUGUCGUGGCACUAGUCAAGAAAGACAAACCAGAGAAGGAGCUGAAGGCUUUCUGUGCUGAUCAGCUGGAUGUCUUUCUGCAAAAAGAAACUUCAGGUUUUGUAGAUAAGCUUUUUGAAAGUCUGUACACAAAGAGUUAUCUUCCCUCUCUUGAACCCACGAAAGUAGAAGCAAAGCCUGCAGGUCAGGAAAAAGAAGAAGUCAAGGAGGAGCUGUCUGCUAAGCAGAGUUUCCAGGAGUCAGUUGAAGAGGAGCGGGACAGCAGGAAGAAGAAGUAUUCCAGUCCGCAGAGGAGCCGCACGGAUUCCAGUGAGCAGAGAACCAGAGAGAAGAAGAGAGACGAUGGGAAGUGGAGGGACUAUGACAGGUACUAUGACAGGAGUGACCUGUACAGGGAGAAGUCGAGCUGGCGGCGCGGCAGGAGCAAGAGCCGCAGUAAGAGCAGGGGCCUGAGCCGCAGCCGCAGCCGCAGCCGGGGCAGGAGCAAAGACCAUGAUGCAAACAGGAGUGUUG